UCGCAUGUACAGCAUGAAGUUUUCAGCAAUGAAGAUUUCCAGAACGAGAACCAAGCCGUGAGGGAGGAGAACCAAGCCCUGAGGGGAAGCCAUGCACGAGCAGCUUCGGAUGACAGCGGCUCGCUUCAAGAGCAGGUGAAGCAAUUUGGGACAAUGCUGAAGACGUUUGCUCGCACUGGGCAAUCAGGUGCAGAUCAGACCCUAGUGCUGCGACGUCUUGGAGAGUUUGGCGAUGUUGUGCGUAGCAUGGAAAACUAUGCUGCAACAUUUCAGUGCCAAUGUGUCUGUUGGAGAGCUAUCCCUGCCAGGGGAUCUGUUACUCCCCCUAGGCACCCAGGAAGAUUUGGUGUUUCUUGACAGCAUUUUGAGGCAGGAUAAAGAGCUCUAGGAACGAUUUGUAAGUGUGUUGCUUUCGUUUAUAAGGCCGUAGGGUAAUCUAAAAAGUCAAAUUAAGUUUGUACACUGCAUAUUCUACAGUCUAAAUCCACA